CACAAUUCACUCAUCUGAGAGCGCGAGGAGAGGAAAAAGUCGCCAACAUUUCUGUACAGUGAAAAGAAGUCGUUUAUUCACAGGAAGCGACGAGGGGAAAACCACUACGAUAUGGCUAAGGAACAAAUAUCAUUUAGUGAAGGUGCUGGUGUGGAGUUGUGUUCCCCUUGGUGUUGGCUCAGGCAGGCUCAGAGCUGCUUGUCACCGACGCAGUGAGCACUGCCACCAGCUGAUGCCAGGCUGCCCUGGGGACCAGCAUGGUGACAGCAGCAGUGGGGUAUGGCCGGGCCACCUGCCCCCCUCCCACUUCUUACCCCUGGGCUCUUACUCAGGCUGCCUCAGGACAAGGAAGUACGCCCAGCACUACACAAAGAAGUAAGCAGCAAUCACUGGCUUGCACAACCAUAGAAUCAUCAUAGAAUCAUAGAGUGGCUUGAGUUGGAUGGGACCUCAGGGAUCAUGAAGCUCCAACCGCCCUGCCGCAUGCAAGUCCGCCAACCUCCAUAUCUAAUGUUAGACCAGGAUGCCCAGGGCCCCAUCCAGCCUGGUUGACGAGUUCCUCACUCUGGAUUGAUUCCACCAUUCCUGUGUCUGCAUCUUUCUGUAAAUUAAAUAAACCCUUUUCUC
rnacentral:lncRNA from 7 species